rnacentral:rRNA from 1 species
UACGGAGGGUGCGAGCGUUGUCCGGAAUCACUGGGCGUAAAGGGCGCGUAGGCGGCCUGAUAAGUAGGGGGUGAAAUCCUGCGGCUUAACCGCAGGGCUGCCUUCUAAACUGCCAGGCUCGAGCACAGUAGAGGCAGGUGGAAUUCCCGGUGUAGCGGUGGAAUGCGUAGAGAUCGGGAAGAACAUCAGUGGCGAAGGCGGCCUGCUGGGCUGUUGCUGACGCUGAGGCGCGACAGCGUGGGGAGCAAACAGG